CGCAGCCGCGCCCCGGGCCGCCCCCGCGCAGAACCGGCAGCCGCCGACAGAGAAUCCGUUACUCCGCUGCAUCCCAACGCUCUCAGACCUGAGCGGGGCUGGGAUCGUCUCCGCUCCUUACAGGGGGAGGAAGCCGAGCGCUGCGCCCGCAGAGCCGCUCGCUUGGGCCGAUGGCUUUGAGAGGAGCGCUUCGGAGCUGCGCUAAAGGGACGUGACAAAGUGACACCGGGCACGCGGGGAUGGCAGCGUCCGUUCGCCUUUUGUUUCGGGACGGGUUCACUCUGUGCAGCAUUUCGUUACACGGGGACCUGCCUUUGCUCGGCCGUAAGCGCGGAGAUCCGCGCACAAGCGCGAUUCUUCUCUCGGAGAGGCGCAGGUCGCGCAGGCACGAGCGCAGGGCUCCGAUGUGCCCUUCUGCUCCCCGUUAUGACACUUCUUAGGUCCUCCCGACCCUUUAUCGUGGAGCCCCGUUCCCGUAACGCUGUUCCCGCAGAGCUGUGGUGUUAAGGAGGUCAGGAAGGGCCCCGAAUACAUCGGGGUUCGGUGUGAGGGUCCGGCUGCGUUCCUGUUCUGAUCACUGGAAAGAAUAAAACUUCUGCAGAGA